AUUGGGUUUAAAGGGAGUGUAGGCGGUCUGUUAAGCGUGUUGUGAAAUUUAGGUGCUCAACAUUUAACUUGCAGCGCGAACUGGCGGACUUGAGUGCACGCAACGUAUGCGGAAUUCAUGGUGUAGCGGUGAAAUGCUUAGAUAUCAUGACGAACUCCGAUUGCGAAGGCAGCGUACGGGAGUGUUACUGACGCUUAAGCUCGAAGGUGCGGGUAUCGAACAGGAUUAGAUACCCUGGUAGUCCGCACGGUAAACGAUGGAUGCCCGCUGUUAGCGCCUGGCGUUAGCGGCUAAGCGAAAGCAUUAAGCAUCCCACCUGGGGAGUACGCCGGCAACGGUGAAACUCAAAGGAAUUGACGGGGGCCCGCACAAGCGGAGGAACAUGUGGUUUAAUUCGAUAAUACGCGAGGAACCUUACCCGGGCUUGAAUUGCAGACGCAGGAUACAGAGAUGUUGACUCCCUUCGGGGCGUCUGUGAAGGUGCUGCAUGGUUGUCGUCAGCUCGUGUCGUGAG
rnacentral:rRNA from 1 species